AUUGAACGCUGGCGGCAUGCCUUACACAUGCAAGUCGAACGGUAACAGGUCUUCGGAUGCUGACGAGUGGCGAACGGGUGAGUAAUACAUCGGAACGUGCCUAGUAGUGGGGGAUAACUACUCGAAAGAGUGGCUAAUACCGCAUGAGAUCUACGGAUGAAAGCAGGGGAUCGCAAGACCUUGUGCUACUAGAGCGGCCGAUGGCAGAGUAGGUAGUUGGUGGGAUAAGAGCUUACCAAGCCGACGAUCUGUAGCUGGUCUGAGAGGACGAUCAGCCACACUGGGACUGAGACACGGCCCAGACUCCUACGGGAGGCAGCAGUGGGGAAUUUUGGACAAUGGGCGCAAGCCUGAUCCAGAAAUGCCGCGUGCGGGAUGAAGGCCUUCGGGUUGUAAACUGCUUUUGUACGGAACGAAAAGCCCUGGGUUAAUACCCUGGGGUCAUGACGGUACCGUAAGAAUAAGCACCGGCUAACUACGUGCCAGCCGCCGCAGUAAUAC
rnacentral:rRNA from 1 species